UGCUAUUAUUGGAAGUGUUUUCCACAGGUAAAAUUUUUUGUUUUUCUCAAUUACUGUCGGAACUCCAUCGAAAUUUUUUCAGAAUUUGCGAAAAAAUAAAAUUGGUCAAAAAUUUUACAUAGUUUUUCAACUUUAAUUAAAUGUUUUUAGUUCCUACAAAAAAUGCUCACCACUUUCAAAAAGUAAAAAAAUGAUUCAUAAAUCUCUUGUAGUACACUUAAUGGGUUAUCGGUAAGUGAAAUUCGGUAAAUCAUUAGGUAUACUACGG
rnacentral:misc_RNA from 1 species